rnacentral:lncRNA from 1 species
UCUUUUCUGCUGGACUUUUCCAGCGUGGUCUGCCACCCUCCGGCCAGCCACCAGCUGCCAGCCCACCCCAGUUUUGACCCCCAUCACCUCCUCUCUCUCCCCGGCCUAGCCCCCGAGUCGUUAGCCCGCCGGAAGAGGAGAAAACUCGCCGGAGACGCCGGGAAGCUUUUGCCAGAAAUCCCACCUCCGGCCACCAUAGGUCGGAAUCUUUGGCUCAUCUUGUAGCCCUCAUCAAGGUGAGUAUUCCCUCAAAAGGAAUUAAUCUAUUUCGUUGUUAUUAUGGAGAAAUGUAUAAUUGAAGUUUUUAGGGAUUUAUGGAAGUUUUGAUUCAUUGGCCCUAGUUAGCCUUAGAAAUGGACUAAGUGCUAGUUAUGAAUAUUGUUGAGCAUGAGGAGAGGAAUAUUCUGUGAAAAUUUGAGAAGCAUUGGAAGUCGCGGGAAAACGGCUGCCGGCCGCCGCCGCCGCCGCCCUUAGGGGCAGUUUUUCAUGCUUUUUUGGGUUUGUUUAAUGAGAGGAGUUUAAUGAAGUAUAGUUUGGAAGUUUUGGAGGAGAUUUGAUAAGGUUUAGGAUUUAAUCUAUGAUUAAGGAUUUAGGCGGUUAUUCGAAUGGAAAUCCGGCAGUUGGUUUAGCAGGUUUUAAAGUCUAAAAAGGUUAAAUUAUGGCUUUCGGUAAGUGCGGAGUAAUGUGAACCUUAUUAGGUAAAAUGUGGAGAAGUUGGGCAAGAGAAAUGAAAUUAUAGGCUUCCUUUUUAUUUCGGGAAUUUUAUUAAAGUUUUGUUCUGGUUUGGAGGCUUAAUGAUUAUUUAUUGUUCAGGACGUGAGGAGGAUCAUUUGGAGGAAGCCUCGGGCCGUCGGCAAGCAUAGCCUAGCACGGUGAGUGGACCUUUGAUUUUAAUAUCAUGCAUGUGCUAAAGUUAUUUAAUUUCAAAGGCAUUUGGAGAUAUAAUAAUUUGUUGGAUUAUCGAGUUCCACUUUUUUUUUUUCUGGAACUCUCUUGCUAAUUUUAGUUGACACGUGGGACGUGUCAAGUGUUUUAUAUUAUUUCCAUGUACAGUUGGGAACUGUACUGUGCGCUAUGAGUUUAUUAUAAUUUAUUUGGGGAAGUGUGGAUCUUUGUAUUUUAAUAUUGUACUUCAUCAUAAAAGGGUUGAUAUAUAGAUUAUUGCUAGCUAACCUUAUUAGCGGUCCUCAUCAUAUGUGAGUCGCUAUUAUAGUCUUAUUAGCGGUUCUCAUCAUAUGUGAGUAGAGCGUUUAGCGUGGGACGCUAUUAUAGCUUGGGAGGCAACCGAUCGGUAUAUAUAUAUAUAUUUAUUGUUAGCUAGCCAUUAUUUAGCGGUCCUCAUCAUAUGAGAGUUGAGCGCUUAGCGUAGGACGCUAUUAUAACUUUUUAAGCGGUCCUCAUCAUAUGUGAGUAGAGCGCUUAGCAUGGGACGCUAUUAUAGCCUGGGAGGCUCAUUGUUAUGGUGAAACAUUUUCCCUAUUUUUAUUGAUUUAUUAGGAACCAAUGGGAUUGGUUCAUUAGUUUUGUCUAUAAUUAUUUUCGGAAAGAUUUCCAAAAAUGGCAUGCAUAAAAUAAAUAUUUUUCUCAAUGGAAAAUAUGGGAAAAGCGUUAAAUUGAUUUCAAUGCUCUAUCAUUAAGUCCGUAUUUUUAUUAUUUAUUUUGUCCACUCACUCUAACGUUUUAAAUGCUUUCCCCUGGGCCUUUCGUUUUAAAUGCCCAGUCUGCAGAGUUCUGUUCGGCGAGGGUAGGAGGCGAGUCAUAUUUCCCACCUCAUCUAGUUUUCUCUCAUAGGUUACUAGUUAACCUACCUAUGUAUUUUCUUCUUUCCUAGUAGUUGCUCUGAUAACCUUGGGAUGUUUUAAGUGAUAUUAAGAUUGUUUUUAUUGUGGUUGUGUGCUAAGAGCUUAUGACUCCUCUUAGGAGUGAUGAAAAAGACAUAUUUGGUAUGUUUGUAUGAGAGAUUAAAUUCAUGAAAUUAUUUCGAUUUAUUAUGUUGGUUGAGGUGGUGGAUGUUUAUUUGGGGGAGCGGAUGGCUCCAGAAGACGUGGAUUGAAUUGUUUUAGAAGUGUUUGGGUUUUGGUGAUUUUUUUCUUCUAGGUAGGGUUACUCAUUUUCAAGGGAAGUUAUGCCAAAAUUUUGGUAGAAUUUCCCUUGAG